UAGCUGUUGUAAUAGAGAGAGCUAGCAAUUCUUAAGUUUUGUGAGGCAUGAAUUAUAUGAGUAUACAAUACAAGAUGUUAGAUGAGCAAAAUAGUAGACCCAUAAUGUGCUUUUACUUGAGAUGGGUUGUUAUUGAAAUGCCAAAACUCUUGUUGACGUUGGGAUGUUACUUGCUGAUAGUAACAGAUGAAUGAAUCUUUUGUUAUAUUGAUGUCUUAAAUAUUGCGGGUUGUUACAAUUGGAAUUAGAGCAACGUUCCUAGGGCAUCCCUUAUUACACGAGACUUAGGAUUCUAUGAGGUUUGGAUUAUA
rnacentral:lncRNA from 1 species